CACAGGGUAGCCUAGUGGACAUGGCAUCUGCCCGGUAAGCGGAAGGUUGUGGGUUCGAUUCCCGCCCCUGGACA
rnacentral:tRNA from 1 species